GCCGCGGCGGCUCCGGGCCGGGGCGGCUGCUCGGCCGCCCCUCUGCCGGGCUCCGGCAAGAGCAGCGCUCUGGUCCGCCGCCUCUCCGCGAAUACGGACGAGCUCCGUCCUCUCGGAGGAUACAGCUCCAGCGUCGCUCUGUCGCCAGACGGGUGGGGGACCGUCGCCCAAAGGCAGCGGCAGCCUGAGCUCGAGAAAGGAACAGCACGCUUAGAGGAGCCAUAUUCUUCCUCAUUUUCAUGGAGACGCUUUCUCAUUGUGGUUGGCUGGAAAAAAGACACAGUAGGAUGGCUCCAGGAAACCAGUGUCACCUGAUUUGAUUGUGGCUACAUUUGAAUUGAUAGGUAAGAUACUGAAGUUGCCAAGUCUCAAGCCAUGUAUGUCAAAGACUGUCCAGUGAAGGUACAUCUACACAAUAUCUUACCAUACAAAAAGAAUAACUCCUAAACUCCAGCAGUCCACAGCUCGGCUGUAUCCAGCAGUCCCAAGUGAAUUUAGAACCUCAGGAGCAAGAUACAUGGGAGUACCACAUAAUGUUUUCAUAAGAGAAGCUUCUCCAAGAAUCUUGGAUUGUCCAAAAUCUGUAAUCUUGUAUUUAAAAAUGGUAACACCACAUUACAUAUUAGGAUGGACUGUACUAGAACACAUCAUAUUGUAGACAUACAUCAGGAGGUAGCAUUAAGUUUCUUUCUUCCAAGCCACUUCCAGUACAUGACUAUGAACAAAAGUCACCCCAAACAUUAUUAAGUGAGAAUGGGAGAGGUGGAAGAGGGAGAAAUAUGACAAAGGAUCACACUUUACACAAGAAAAAAAGUACUCUCAGAUUUGGAUGUAAAUGGACAACCACAGAAUAGAGGCAUUGUAGCCUAUUAGAAGAGUUUACUUGAAAAAGCAGCAUUUUAGCGUGCAAAUCUAUUCAAUGCUUUCUCUGGGGGGAAAAAAAAACCAACACAAAAGAAAAUCCACAACCCUAAUUCCCACCCAAAAAACGCAAAAAAUCCCUGUCACCAUACAGCCUGGACAUUUGUGGGAAUGCUGUCUGUAAUUCAAGAAUUUAGGUUUUAUUGGGGAAAAAAACCACUGACAUUUGAAAUUACAUAUGCAGUGUAUGGGUUGAAAUAUCCAUAAAAGUAAAAUUACAAUUAUGAAAAAAACAACCCUCUAUGUUUUAAGUUACUUCAUGGUUUGUAUGACUAAUUCCGUAUCUUUUUGGCUAUGUUUAAUGAAAUAUGAAGAAUGUGAAGGAACAUUCCCAAAUUUCCCCAUUAACAAGAAAUGUAAUUACGUUUCCUUACCUUUAUAAGACAUGUCUCUUCAGAAGAUGAAAGUAGCACAUUUUCUGGCUUUAGAUCUCGGUGUAUAAUUCCAUUGUCAUGAAGAUACUAAAUACAUACAGAUGGGCAAUUAAGGAAAAACAGACUAUUAACUAGUUUUAAAAUGUCAGCUUUCCAUUUUUUCUCAUGGCAAUGGCAGAAUAACUGGAAAUGGCUGUGCAAGAGGCAGGCAUGCAUUUAAAGCUCCCUAACUUAUGACUCUCCCUUAAAAAAACAAAGCAAAACAAAAACAAAACAAAAUGAAACAAACAAAAAAAACCCACACCAAAACACCAUCACAAACAAAGGAAAAAAACCACCUUAGAAAUCAUUAUGCUUCAAAUGUCACAUCUCAAUGCAAGCACAGUGUGCAGAUGCAAAUUCUGUGUCACCUUUGCAGGAAUUCUGGUUUUCUGCCUCUCUUAACUUCAGUAAGUUGUUAAACCAACUUAUUGAGAACACUGUGCUGGUUGCUUGCAUGGGUUUCAGCAAUGACAAAUGUCAGAAGAACUCAUCUUACUACAUUUUUUUUGGUAGAAUUCAUGAUUAUGUACCUUUACUGCCAGAAGCAUCUGAUAAAAAUACAACUUGCAGGUAUCUUCUUUCAUCUUGAUUGGCCUUGACACUCUGUCAUACAAUUCUCCUCCUUCCAUCCUAAAAUAAAUGCAGGUUAACAAGCUAACAUACGACUUCCUAAAGAUUCAUCUCCUUAGACAAGACUAAGAGACCAAAACAUUUGGCUAUUCUGGCUACAGAGAAAGAACGUAUUUCUGAAAAGGAAAGAGCAACAUCCUAAACACAGCACGUGCAUGGCUGAGUUAGGGUCAAUCUCCUGAGUCUUCACUGGGAGUUGUUACAUGAUUAUUGACCAGCCCCCUCUUAGAAGCUCAAAAACUAAAAAAAAAAGAAAAAAAAAAAUCCAGCAAUCCACAACAGCAGCAGAGCAAACAAUAUCCAGGCACUGAGUGCCCACAAAGCAGAGAAGGAUGAUUUCUCCUGGUUAUCCCAGCUCCUAAUCUUACAAAGGUUUCAAAAAACAGUGGAGGCCAGCAAAAGAAAAACAAAAUAAAACAAGCAAAACCUCCACAGUUCAGAAGUACAUACAUUCAUUGUGGCUAUGAAAAAAACAUUUCAUUUUAUGCAUUUACUUUCAAACAGGUUACUUACAGUUCCAAAACAAUGUAGUAAUCCUCUGCUUCAAAGAAGUUUUUGAUCUUGAUUAAGCAAGGCUAACAGAAAAGGGAACACAAACGGAGACACACAAAAAAGUAGAAUAAUUUGUAAAAAUUAAUCCUAAAGUUUUUAUUUCAGUAUUUCAAAACAUGUCACUUAAACUAACACUUAAAACAAGUGACUAGUGAGCACCCCAAAUUUUUUCCAGUUGUCAGUUACCAUACUCUCAAUAUUUUAUUUAUUUCACAUGCAGAGGAAAGAGGGAAUACAAAUUCAAGAAACUGCCAGUGAAAACUAGUCUUUAUAUUUAGUUAUUUCACAGCAUUUACAAAAAACUUGCAUCAAGGAAAAGUUUCUGCAGCAGUGGCUCAGGUUAAAACUUCUCCUGUGAUGAUGUUUCUUCUCAAAUUCACAUCUCAGUUAUCCAAAGUUUUAAAAUCUCAAAUCUGCUAGGAUAUAAUAUAUUUAAAAGAGGAAAAAAACCCCAUUCAAUAAUUUACAAGAAAAAUUAUAUGCCUCCUUUAACACAUUUCUAAAUGGAUAAAAUUGCUCUUUAGUUACUACACUAGGGUCAGUAAACUACACAAGUACAUAUGGUAGGGAGCAAAAAAUAAUAAAAAUGUACUCACGUGAUCUAUUUUCUUCAAAAUUUCAAUUUCUGUAUUGAUAUUAAAAGCUGGGUUCUAUUAAAAGAAUCAAAUACCAUAUUGGGUAAGACAGUGCUGUUCUGGAAUAAGACAUAUGAGAAAUAAGAGACAGUACCAGAAAAGCCUUCAUUUCAUGCCUUUUGCUACUGUGACUGUAACAUACAACUUUUUCUAUAAAAUGAUCAGGUGCCUUUGGUGAAUUAAAUAAACAGUGUGCUGUCACUAUCUGGAGCAAGAUACUGCUCCAGACAUGUAAUUUCACUGCAGGUUAGAAAUCCCCAACUAAUUUCCAGAUUAAAAAAAAAAAAAAAAAAAUUCUUUUUACCUAUAUACCUGUAUUGUCCUUUGAACAGCUUUUCUCCCUCCAAGAUGCUUCACAGAUGGGCCAACCUAAAAUUACAUGCUACUCUCUCCUAUUUUGCAAGAUAACAUAACCAGAUCCUUUUAAUCUGUGGCUUAGGCUCAACUCUCAAAAUCAACUCAGCAGGGAUUUUCUUUUUUGCUCUUCUUCCAAUCCAAAUCAAUCAUCUUUGAACACACGACAUUCCAGAUAUACUCCUGUCUCUGUUUUGUACAAUAGCAUAUAUUAGUAAUCCUAAUUCACAACAGCAUCUUAAGCCAGUGUUCUUUGUUCUUCUCCAAAUCCUGGCUUCUGCCAUGAAAAGCCCUUCCCAAAAGGCUUCAUACAAUUUUCUUAAAAAGCAUUAUGAUGGAGCAUUCAACAAAAUUAGCUUAGUUGGUACAUUUUUGGUCAAGACUCUGCUGGUUAUGAUGUGUCUACCUGAUGCAUUUCAGGACAUAAACCAGACCCUACAAGACUCUGCACCAGCCUUUGUACACAUCCCAUUAAUAGUCCUAACUGAUGAACCUGAUGGAAUGUGGUCAAGGAACGAAAGGAAGCAUUUCCUACGGAAUUCUGUACAUCAUACAAGAUCAAAAGACAUUUUGAAAUUAAAUACAGAAGACAUUAAGUAAGAAAAUCCUCUUUAGUUGAAGAUAGCUGAGAAGUCAGAGAAGUUACCAAAUAUUCCAUGGCCACUGCAAGAUGGCCAAUACAGACAAACAAACCAAAAUACUUACUGUCUCUCUCAAGCCACUUGCCACAAACUUCCGUUUAUUGAUGAUUUUCACUGCUACUUUGUUACAGGUGCUCUUCUCAAAUGCCAGUUUGACUUCUCCACAGGCACCACUAAAACCAGAGCACAGCUCUUGUCAGUGCUUACAAACACUUGUCAAAAAUCUGUGUAACAAGUGCAGGCAAAUGAAAGCAUAAUUUGGUGCUGCUGCUUUCUAACUUUCUGAAUAUGGCACGUUGCCUCUUCUCAGGAAGUAUUCAACUGUUAGAAAGUCUACAGUACUCAGGAAACAUUCAAGAGUUAGAAAGUCCAUUUAAAGAGCAAGUGUUAUCAAGGACCAUUCAUUCAAAACUGCAGGAGUAAAUAUGCAGAGCAGCUACUCUAUUUGUACCAAAAGUACUGGCAGAUAUGAAGGACAAGCUCUGUCAGCAUUUCCUUCAUGCAAAGGCAUUUAAGAGAAGAGAACUUAGGAAGGGUUCUCUUAACACUGGACUGCACAAAUCUGAGGAACAGGAAUUACAACACUUGUAUUUUUACUAAAUAGCCAUUCUAUUACAGAAAGAAAUUCUUGUAUUUUCCACUCUGAUUUUUUUCUACUUAAUUAUUCACCUCCAAAUUGUUCACUGACCGUUUCAAGAGAGAAAAAAAUAGCCCCCAUUUAAAAUAGCCUCUCUCUCCUUUUUCCUGGACAGUUCUUUCCCUUUUUGUCUGAAGGCCUCAAUAGUGAUAUUGUAGGAAGCUGUAUUCUGACAUAAAGCUCUUCCUUCCACUUCCAAUACCUGAGUAAAUUAAUAUAUAAGCUUUAAAAACUCAUUAAGAAUUUACAGACUUCAUUCUCUUCUACAGAAAAAAAACCCCACCAACCAAAACAAAACAAAAGCUGGAUUUUUGCAAUUGGUGGUAGGUUAUUAACCCCAAACCAAUUAGAGAGACAAAGCCAAAAUUCCUGUUUAAAUUACUGUUUAAGCAUGUAAAGAACAUGUUUACUCACGCUAUCACACUUUUUUUUUUCCUUUUUUUCUUUUAAAACAGCAGCUCAGUUAAUACCAGCACAGUGUACUGACAGUGAUAAAAGAGUUAAUCCUUUUUACUGAGGGAAGAAGGAUGCUUACCUUCCCAAAGUCUUUGACAUGAUGUAUUUCUCUCUGAAUUCUUUAGGAAACAUCAUCUGAUCAUCCACCGUAAGAUCAGAAAAUACAAACACUGAGAAGACAAGUUGAGAUAAUUUUCCUAUUGUUAAAUUUAAAAUUUUUGUUAUAACAAACAGCUAUGUUUUGUGAGCUUUUAUAGUCAACCAUAUAACUGAGAAAAUAAUGCCUGCUAGAGUCAAAACUAAACAUAUGCUAUAAAUUACACCAGCUAUGGGUUAGCAAGGUGAUCUUAUUGCUGAAAAAUUACAUUUUGGUGUUAAAUUCGCAACAGCCUUUAACUAAUUAACUACAUUUAAGGACAAAAUGAGCGCUAAUUUCAAUGCCCCAGCAGAGAUCAAAGAUAAGUAAUAAUCAAGAAGACAGCAUCUUAGUGGAAAAACAAAGACAAAGAAACAAAAGCCCAGCCCUGCUAAUUUUUAAGAGGAUUUUCUAUUUAUUAUACACCAUCUGAUUAAGUAUCUGGGGGGAGGGGGGGUGUGUGCAACUUUUCUUGAAUAGUCUGUUUCCCCUGUUCCCACCAUCAUAUGCACAGCCAUUGAAGCCCAAAAGUGUUUCAAAAAUAGGAAAACAGCUAUCAAAGAUUAUACUCUAGUAAGGUGCUAUCUGAUGCAGAUUUUUUAAAGGGUUUUUUUCUAUUUUUUUCCUAGGGUUGACAGGGACAUGGAUAAUUUUUAUGUCAGUAUUAAUACACCUAUUAAUGAGCUGUGCUCAUGAAGCACCUCAGCUCCCAAGAAAUAUAUUCAAAUCAAUGCAGAGAAAACCUCUCGGUCAAUACAUGAAAAAUCUACUUAAGUUAAAGCACAUUUUACCCUUAUUGGUCUGUAUAGACAGUGCAAUUUCAGAGUUGUGUGUCAGUGGAAGCCUCCUUCCUUUUCCAAUGAGCUCUCUAUUAACAAAUGUCCCAUUUGCACUAUGGUCUUCAAUGUAGGCAACAAAGGAAUUUUUUGGACCCAUUUCCUGAAAGAGAAAAAAAAUGGGAAAGAUGACAGUAAAGGACAAGUGACUUUACAGUAAAGACAUGACAGACUAGAAAUUUACUAUUGUUGACUCAAGAAACGAGACUGUGAGUUUAUUUCAUAAACCACGUGAAUGGGGCAUUGCCAGGAGUCUUGUUAAAGGAGUCAACCCUGAAGAUACUUUGAUUUCUUUAGGAUUUCUGCCCCAAAGUCUCUUUUUGAAUUAUGCCAAAAUAGACAGAGAGUUAAUGUUUUUAGCACUUACCCUGAAAAUUCGGAAGUGCUUCUUGCUAUAGUUUUGGUAGAAGCCAGUCUCAGACAAUCCUAGCUUGGAAAAACUGUAAUCACAGCUUUUGUCUCUCCCAAACCAGUAUUCCUCAUUCACACAGUCUGCAGAGGAGAGGAAAGUACAGCAGAGAGAGAACACAAUGUUGCAGGAAGUUUCUAACUAUGGCACUACAGAACAAUGCCAAAUGAUAAUGAAUAGGAUAACAAAGACAAGAUUCUUCCCAUAGAAUCAAGUCUGUCUUAACUCAUACAAAGCACCACACCUUGUCAAAUCCUUUAAUAAUUUUACCCUCUUUAGCAGUGGUAGUUUUCAGUUCACCUUCAGCAAUAUAAAGACAUAUAACUAAACACAAUCAAUUAAAAAAUGUAAAAAAAAUGAAGCAUGUAACAAAGAACAUGAACACCCCAGAAAUUCUGUAAGUCUAUGGAAGCUGUGUAUCCAAGUACUCAGUGUAAACACUGGGAUGUAGUAUGGAAUAAAAUAUUAUUGCAAAAGUUGCAUACCUAAA